GACAUGGGGGACUCGAGUCACAUGACUUGACUCGAGUCAGACUCGAGUCGCAAAUUUGAGGACUUGAGACUUGCUUGACUAACACUGAUAAAAGACUCGACUUGACUUUGACUUGGUCUUCAUGACUUGAGACUUGACUUAGACUUGAGACAGAUGACUCGAAAUGACUUUUCUAAAGUUAGAUUAAAUGUUGGAUAUGGGAUUUGCGAUACGCCAGCAGAUUUUGAAAAGACGCAACUCAAAUGGUCCUACCCCCUCUCCUUCAACGCUGACUCUGACUCCACCCAUUCCAAGUACAUGGACGCGCAAUCAUGCACGAUCGCGAACACAGAUGCGCGAGAGUGAGCCAGGCUAGCUAGGUUGGAGUUUAGGGUUGUCUUCUAGUGCUAGGUCCAAAUGUGGAUUAGCUAGUUAGCUAGCUCCAGUAGCUACCGCAGGAUAACAACAAACAGAAGCUUGCUCUGGGUCACGAGCUUUGAGUACGUGCACGUGCACGAAGGGGUCACUCGCGGGGAGCGGGGGAAUGAUUGACUUGUUUAAUUUUCAUGUCAGUAGGCUACUUCUAACUCAGUGGCUAUAAGUGGGUUAUAAUAAUGAUUUCAAGUGAUUUUCAAGUAAAAUUACACCGUCAGAGCCAGAGCGUCAGACUGGGCUGUUCUCAGCAUACCGCAAAAAAAAUGAAGAGGGUUCAAGUUCCAGUCCCCAAAUUCAGUUGAACCACUACCUGGACAUUUGUGAUGGACAGAGCUGCCUUCAGUUUUGGGCCUAUUCACAUAAUGGUUUUGGAAUGUUUUGAAUAGUUUGAGUUAUUGUUAAUGUUAAGACAUUGUUAUUGUUAAUGUUGAAAUAAAACUCAACUUAUGAACCA